AAAUAAAUAGUUCGCUAUUCUUAAUUAGAAAAACCAACGCUGCAGCAGUUUGCAAAAAUGUCAUUCGCGAGGCGAGAGACGAAUGUUAAUUGUAUUUAAACUAUUUUAAAAGUUGUUCUUUAAAUCUUAUUAUAAUUCUUGACGGAGUAGAAUUAAAUAUUUUUCAAAAAUAUUUGUGACAGUUUGAACUGUAGGAAAUUUUAUAUUACUGCAAUUCUUGUAAGAAUGUUCUAGAACUCCUAAAAUCCGUUUAAAUUGAAUGGGUAACAAGUUGAAGGUGCAGAGUUGUAAUGAACGGCAUUCCCCACAUUCCUGGAUAAGACAUAGCAGGUAGUAAUAGUAUUUAGGCAAAAUAAACAGAGCUGAUGUUGACAGUGGCACUGCAGCACCCCUCCCCCCUUUUAAAGAAAGAAUUAAAAAAGAAGAAGGCCUAUACGAGGGGUUCCUAUAGUAUAGAUUUCAAGGAAAGACUAACAUUAGAAUUAACUUCACUAACCUAGAUUUAAGUAAUUAAUUUAAAAAAGUUUUGUAAUGUUAUAGGAAAUAAAAGGCUUCAUUAUUAUUAUUA